AUUACACAGAGGGAUAUACCAUCUUACCACAGGCCCUGCGAUUACACAAAGAUCUUUCACUUCUUGCCAGAUAUUGACUGGCAGCAGCCGGCGUGUCGCCCUCCAGAGCCUUUGGGGAAAGAGAUUCGGCUUGCACCAUCUAUGGACAGCAAAUGAGAAUGCACAUCAAGGGAGGAAAUUCUCAUUCAAUCCACGAGUGGAAAUGUUGUUUGCAAUGCCCACAUCAAUUUACUAUUUGAAAUAUAAUCCAUUCUAUACAAGGAACAAGUACAUGCCCUUUAAGUAUUUGGGUAAGGCAGUGUUUUGUCUAAUUAUAAGUGUGAUUACAUAUUACUGUUUGUUAAUAGUUGGAUCAUUACUGCUUGUGGUUAUUAUCCUUAUUUAUAUGUUUUGUGCAAUUGAUUCAUUAUAUGAGUAUAGUAUCAUGUUCAGCACUUUAUGUUGCAAUGCUGUAUGUAAUUAUGAUACUUAUUGUUGCACCUUUAUGUUUAAUCAUCAAAGACUAUAAAUCUUAUGCAACUUAUGCAUUGUGUCUAACAGGGGUGAUGCGCCAAUGAAAUGAGUUGAGAAACUCGUCAGGCAGUGCCCCACUGGUUACCAGGGGGAGGAAAAAAUACCGCUUGUGGUAACUUUAAGAGCUGAAAGAUUUUCAAACGGGAAAUUAAUUUCUUCUAGCGCAGAAAGCACAAUUGCACUUCUCUGCACUAGAUCCCUCCAGUGCCAAAAAAGGGGAGCAGAGGGGCAAAAUUUACCCCUGGUGUAUAAUUUUUUUUUUUUUUGUGAUUUACAUUAUCUUUAAUGGGGUUUCACUAUAUAUUAUUUAACCUUUUGUAUAGUAAUAUUGUAUUGUAGAAUUAUUUAUUAUGCUAAUAUUGUAACUUGUGGCUUCUUAACAGCUGCUCAGAGCCCACUGAGUAAGUGAGUGUCGCAGGCACUUUCCAAGAUGGUGACCUCCUGUG